rnacentral:rRNA from 1 species
GAUGAACGCUAGCGGCAGGCUUAACACAUGCAAGUCGAGGGGUAGAGCUAGCUUGCUAGCUUGAGACCGGCGCACGGGUGCGUAACGCGUAUGCAACCUACCUUGAACAGGGGGAUAGCCCAGAGAAAUUUGGAUUAAUACCCCAUGGUAUAUUUGAGUGGCAUCACUCGACUAUUAAAGUUCCAACGGUUCAAGAUGGGCAUGCGUCCCAUUAGCUAGAUGGUAAGGUAACGGCUUACCAUGGCAACGAUGGGUAGGGGUCCUGAGAGGGAGAUCCCCCACACUGGUACUGAGACACGGACCAGACUCCUACGGGAGGCAGCAGUGAGGAAUAUUGGUCAAUGGGCGCAAGCCUGAACCAGCCAUGCCGCGUGCAGGAUGACGGUCCUAUGGAUUGUAAACUGCUUUUGUACGGGAAGAAACACUCCCUCGUGAGGGAGCUUGACGGUACCGUAAGAAUAAGGAUCGGCUAACUCCGUGCCAGCAGCCGCGGUAAU